rnacentral:rRNA from 1 species
UACGGAGGAUGCAAGCGUUAUCCGGAUUUAUUGGGUUUAAAGGGUGCGUAGGCGGCUUUUUAAGUCAGCGGUGAAAUUUUGCAGCUUAACUGUAACAGUGCCGUUGAUACUGGGGAGCUAGGAUUUGGUUGCUGUGGGUGGAAUGUGUGGUGUAGCGGUGAAAUGCUUAGAGAUCACACAGAAUAUCGAUUGCGAAGGCAGCUCACAAAGCCAAGAUUGACGCUGAGGCACGAAAGUGUGGGGAUCAAACAGGAUUAGA